rnacentral:rRNA from 1 species
CCUACGGGUGGCAGCAGUGAGGAAUAUUGGUCAAUGGGCGCAAGCCUGAACCAGCCAAGUCGCGUGAGGGAUGACGGUCCUAUGGAUUGUAAACCUAUUUUGUCGGGGAGCAAGGCCCGCCACGUGUGGCGGGAAGGAGAGUACCCGAAGAAAAAGGAUCGGCAACCUCCGUGCCAGCAGCCGCGGUAAUACGGAGGAUGCGAAGGUUAUCCGGAUUUAUUGGGGUUAUAGGGUGCGUAGGCGGAAGGUUAAGUCAGCGUUCAAAUGUCGGUUCUCAACACCGGCCUGCCGUUGAAACUGGUCUGCUUGAGUGAGCGAGAAGUAUGCGGAAUGCGUGGUGUAGCGG